rnacentral:rRNA from 1 species
AUGUUCACGGCUUUCCGGGUGGACGAACAUACGUUCAAGGUGUGUUCUAUUUUGGGCAUGUCAGAUUCAGAACCUGAAGACGCGGACAAAGGAAGGAACUACUUCGUCAGAGCCUCGAUAGGCGAAGGCAAGUACUACUGCCAAUGCUGCAAAUUCGAACGGGACGGCAUUGUGUGUUGUCACAUACUAAAAGUCAUGGACAUGAACGCUGUGACACGCAUGCCCCGCCAUUUCAUAAGGAGGCGAUGGACUUGGGACGCUGACGACGCGUUGGCGCCGCAGACAACACACGCAGUUCUGGCUGUGCAUGACGAGAGACCUGAGUCAACAAUGGAAGCCGUGAGGCACGUUGUGCUGACAAAGAACUAUGCUGAGCUAAUUGAUGAAGCGUGCAAGAGUGAUGACACAGCGAGACUCGCAGAAAAACACAGGAAGGCACUGAAAAGAGAGCUUGAUGAGAUCAAAAAAAGGAAAGCCGAGGAAGCCUUACACCGGUUCCCCCGCACAUCAAGUGUGCCUUCAUCCACGGGGCCAUCGUCUGAAAACUCAGAGAUAGGAUCUGGAACAGCAAGCACACAAACCCAGGUCAGGAACCCACCCCGUUCCAUCACAAAGGGUCGUCCGAGAGAGAUAAGGUACAAGUCGGUACUGGAGAUUCAAGCAAAACACAAGAAAACGAAGAAAGGGGCGGGCAAUCCAUGA